rnacentral:rRNA from 1 species
AACGAACGCUGGCGGCAGGCCUAACACAUGCAAGUCGAGCGCACCUUUCGGGGUGAGCGGCGGACGGGUUAGUAACGCGUGGGAAUAUACCCUUUGGUACGGAAUAGCCUCUGGAAACGGAGAGUAAUACCGUAUGAGCCCUUCGGGGGAAAGAUUUAUCGCCAAAGGAUUAGCCCGCGUUAGAUUAGGUAGUUGGUGGGGUAAUGGCCUACCAAGCCUACGAUCUAUAGCUGGUUUUAGAGGAUGAUCAGCAACACUGGGACUGAGACACGGCCCAGACUCCUACGGGAGGCAGCAGUGGGGAAUCUUGGACAAUGGGCGCAAGCCUGAUCCAGCCAUGCCGCGUGAGUGAUGAAGGCCUUAGGGUCGUAAAGCUCUUUCGCCUGUGAAGAUAAUGACGGUAGCAGGUAAAGAAACCCCGGCUAACUCCGUGCCAGCAGCCGCGGUAAUACGGAGGGGGUUAGCGUUGUUCGGAAUUACUGGGCGUAAAGCGCACGUAGGCGGACUGGAAAGUAUGGGGUGAAAUCCCAGGGCUCAACCCUGGAACUGCCUCAUAAACUAUCAGUCUAGAGUUCGAGAGAGGUGAGUGGAAUUCCGAGUGUAGAGGUGAAAUUCGUAGAUAUUCGGAGGAACACCAGUGGCGAAGGCGGCUCACUGGCUCGAUACUGACGCUGAGGUGCGAAAGUGUGGGGAGCAAACAGGAUUAGAUACCCUGGUAGUCCACACCGUAAACGAUGAAUGCCAGUCGUCGGGUAGCAUGCUAUUCGGUGACACACCUAACGGAUUAAGCAUUCCGC